rnacentral:rRNA from 1 species
GAUUGAACGCUGGCGGCCUGCUUUACACCUGCAAGUCGAACGGCAGCGCGGGCUUCGGCCUGGCGGCGAGUGGCGAACGGGUGAGUAAUACAUCGGAACGUGCCCAGUAGUGGGGGAUAGCUCGGCGAAAGCCGGAUUAAUACCGCAUACGACCUGAGGGUGAAAGCGGGGGAUCUUCGGACCUCGCGCUAUUGGAGCGGCCGAUGGCAGAUUAGCUAGUUGGUGGGGUAAAGGCCUACCAAGGCGACGAUCUGUAGCUGGUCUGAGAGGACGACCAGCCACACUGGGACUGAGACACGGCCCAGACUCCUACGGGAGGCAGCAGUGGGGAAUUUUGGACAAUGGGCGAAAGCCUGAUCCAGCAAUGCCGCGUGUGUGAUGAAGGCCUUCGGGUUGUAAAGCACUUUUGGCGGGAACGAAAAGGACUGUGCCAAUACCACGGUUCGAUGACGGUACCCGCAGAAUAAGCACCGGCUAACUACGUG